AGACCCGAAACCCGGUGAUCUAGCCAUGGGCAGGUUGAAGGUUGGGUAACACUAACUGGAGGACCGAACCGACUAAUGUUGAAAAAUUAGCGGAUGACCUGUGGCUGGGGGUGAAAGGCCAAUCAAACCGGGAGAUAGCUGGUUCUCCCCGAAAGCUAUUUAGGUAGCGCCUCGUGAAUUCAUCUCCGGGGGUAGAGCACUGUUUCGGCUAGGGGGCCAUCCCGGCUUACCAACCCGAUGCAAACUGCGAAUACCGGAGAAUGUUAUCACGGGAGACACACGGCGGGUGCUAACGUCCGUCGUGAAGAGGGAAACAACCCAGACCGCCAGCUAAGGUCCCAAAGUCAUGGUUAAGUGGGAAACGAUGUGGGAAGGCCCAGACAGCCAGGAUGUUGGCUUAGAAGCAGCCAUCAUUUAAAGAAAGCGUAAUAGCUCACUGGUCGAGUCGGCCUGCGCGGAAGAUGUAACGGGGCUAAACCAUGCACCGAAGCUGCGGCAGCGACGCUGAUGCGUUGUUGGGUAGGGGAGCGUUCUGUAAGCCUGCGAAGGUGACCUGUGAGGGUUGCUGGAGGUAUCAGAAGUGCGAAUGCUGACAUAAGUAACGAUAAAGCGGGUGAAAAGCCCGCUCGCCGGAAGACCAAGGGUUCCUGUCCAACGUUAAUCGGGGCAGGGUGAGUCGACCCCUAAGGCGAGGCCGAAAGGCGUAGUCGAUGGGAAACGGGUUAAUAUUCCCGUACUUGGUGUUACUGCGAAGGGGGGACGGAGAAGGCUAUGUUGGCCGGGCGACGGUUGUCCCGGUUUAAGCGUGUAGGUGUGUGUUCCAGGUAAAUCCGGUUCACUUUAACACUGAGGCGUGACGACGAGGCACUACGGUGCUGAAGCAACAAAUGCCCUGCUUCCAGGAAAAGCCUCUAAGCAUCAGGUAACAUCAAAUCGUACCCCAAACCGACACAGGUGGUCAGGUAGAGAAUACCAAGGCGCUUGAGAGAACUCGGGUGAAGGAACUAGGCAAAAUGGUGCCGUAACUUCGGGAGAAGGCACGCUGACAC
rnacentral:rRNA from 2 species